CCCACCACGUCGAGCGCCACGCCCGUCAUGCGGCAGUACCUCGAGGCGAAGCGGCAAUACCGUGACGCAAUCGUGUUCUUUCGCAUGGGCGACUUCUACGAGAUGUUCUACGAGGAUGCGCUUACGGCGGCGCGGGCGCUCGAGCUGACGUUGACGUCGCGGUCGCGCGACGGGAACGGGACGGCGAUCCCGAUGUGCGGAGUGCCUCACCAUGCGGCAGACGGCUACAUUGCGCGGCUCGUGCGGAAAGGGUUCCGCGUCGCGGUCUGCGAACAGAUGGAGGACCCGCGCCAGGCGAAGGGGAUCGUCCGGCGCGAGGUCGUGCGGCUCGUCUCGCCGGGCACGUUGACCGACG
rnacentral:misc_RNA from 1 species